GAGAUUUUUCUAAAGACCCAACAGACACUUUGUUGCUGCUCUAUGAAUUUGAAGCAAGAUCCAAGCUUAAUGAUCCAACACUCAAUAACUUCAUUGAAUCACUAUGGGAGCAACCACACGUAGAGAUCAAGACGCUAGAAAUCAUUGCAUCAUUAGCAAUGGAACCUCCAGCUCGGUAUCCUGUACUGUGUAAGAAAGCUCUGAAGAGUGCAGUAAACCUUUACAAAAAGCAAACUAUCACUGAUGCUGUGAAAUUUAGCAACUGCUUACAUAGUUUGAUUAAUGUUUCUUUGCCAACCGGAGUGACAGACUUGGAUGCCUGUGUGCUGCAGGAGGUGUGGGGCUACUUUGAAGAUGCUCUGAGUGUAGUCAACAGCACAAUGAUUGGUCUUUACAGUGAGGUUCUGGACAAAUUGGACAGAGUAAAAGAGUGUCUUCCAAAUGAAGAAUGAUAGCCACAACUGCAGAAAAGGAGGACAGCAGUUGGAAACAUCCUGCUGAAGGAAAGAGGCUGUUAGCUCUGCAGGGGCACAGGAGCAGUGGAAAGGAAACCAGAAUCUCCCUCUUGUUGGCUAUUAAGUUAUGUGUUCAUUGAAUUCAUGUUAUUGUUUCCCUCUAGGAGAGUUUCAUUCUGUGGAGCUAUGUAGCAGAAAUAAAUAUGUAAGUUUCUCUUGAGAUGGUUCUGCU
rnacentral:lncRNA from 1 species